rnacentral:lncRNA from 1 species
CGGCUGCUGGAGGGGUGCCUGCUGGGGCUCUGGAAGGCCCAGUCCCUGGGGCCCAGGGGUCGUUCGGGUCCUGACGCUGCAGGAGCAGCGGCGCGCAGAGGCCAGGAGACUCCGGUGCAUUCGGCGGAGUUCUGCGUGCGGCGAGGACCGUGGAGGCACCCGCGACCUCUCCUGCCCCUUUGGACCCAGGGCUAGGGUCGGAGUGGCACUAUAAGUGGGGCGACUGAGGCGGGGAGACUGAGGCGGGGUCGGGAAGACUGAGGCAGGGAGACUGAGGCGGGGAGAGGAUCCCCGGCGCGGGGAGGGUCGCGUGCGCGCCUUGGGACGUGGCAGUCCCCUAGGGCCUGCCCUUUUCUGCCGCGUCCUGGACUCACUCCCCCAGCCCGGCGCGUCUCCUUUCUCCUCCCCACUGGAUCGUCUUUCUCUCAACCCCCAGCUCCCGACCCCCGCGAGUUGGUCCCAGGGCCCGCGACAAGGCCUAGGCACCGGGAUUCCGGGCGACAUGGACCUUAGGGCCUCGAGCCUCCAAGCACCCAGGCCUUAGGAGGGCCGCGGGAAGGGGCGCAGCUGGGUCCCCGCCAGGGGUGCGGCGGAGGCGUCCGCUGGGAACCUGCCCCACGUGGGAAGCCUCGGAGUCCCGGAUCCGCUCAGCCCAAGCCAGGGGGGGUUCUCCUCCUCCCGGCCCAGUCUCUGCAGCCCGCGCCUCGCGUUUGCUUCUCCGGGCACCCGGAAGGAAGGCGCCCCCGCCAUGUCCCACAAGCUUCUGCCAAGUAUCCACCGGGGCCCUGUGCCCGCCCACGGCCUCAAGAGCUCUGCGCCUCGGAGCUGGCGCGUCCUUCUGGACCACCCGGGCUUGGCGAGGGCAUCGGCUUCGGGGAGGCCUCCGCGGAUCGCGCCGGGGCGGGGCGCGGGGCCCUGGAGGUCACGGCCGAGGGCGAGGCCGCGAGGGACCCGGUGUGCGCGCAGGAGUCGGGAAUUUUCCAUGAUUGAGGUGGAAGGAAAAGCAGCCGACUGCUACAUGCUGACUGAUGGCUCCAGGGUUGGCCCACCAUCACUUCUGCCACCAUUGUUGCCACACACACUGCCCAGGAGCCCACCUGCCCUGCCCACUGAUGGCACCUGA